CAAAGCUGAAGAUGAUGACUCGUCUGAUGAUGAUUUUAGUGACGAUGAAGAGUUGCAGUCACCCAUUGAUGAGGUGGACCCUUUUAUUCUCUUUGUUGAUUCCGUCAAAGUUCUUCAAGCAUCUGAUCCCUUGAGGUUCCAGAGCGUCACCCAGUCUUUGGACUUCCGUUAUCAAGCUCUCGCAAAUGGCAUUGCUCAGCACGCUGAGCAGAGGAAAUCGAGAUCGAGAAAGAGAAAUUGGAGAAGGCAUCAGCA